GACCAGCUAAGUUUGUUAUUGGUAUGAGCUUUUGUGUGUGCAUGCACACUUCUUCAGAUGCACACGAAAGCUCAUACCAAUAACAAACUUAGCUGGUC